rnacentral:misc_RNA from 1 species
GAAAUGCGAUAAGUAAUGUGAAUUGCAGAAUUCAGUGAAUCAUCGAAUCUUUGAACGCACAUUGCGCCCGCCAGUAUUCUGGCGGGCAUGCCUGUUCGAGCGUCAUUACAACCCUCAGGCCCCCGGGCCUGGCGUUGGGGAUCGGCGGAAGCCCCCUGCGGGCACAACGCCGUCCCCCAAAUACAGUGGCGGUCCCGCCGCAGCUUCCAUUGCGUAGUAGCUAACACCUCGCAACUGGAGAGCGGCGCGGCCACGCCGUAAAACACCCAACUUCCGAAUGUUGACCUCGAAUCAGGUAGGAAUACCCGCUGAACUUAAGC